UAACACGUAUCCAACCUGCCGUCUACUCUUGGACAGCCUUCUGAAAGGAAGAUUAAUACAAGAUGGCAUCAUGGGUUCACAUGUUCACAUGAUUAAAGGUAUUCCGGUAGACGAUGGGGAUGCGUUCCAUUAGAUAGUAGGCGGGGUAACGGCCCACCUAGUCUUCGAUGGAUAGGGGUUCUGAGAGGAAGGUCCCCCACAUUGGAACUGAGACACGGUCCAAACUCCUACGGGAGGCAGCAGUGAGGAAUAUUGGUCAAUGGGCGAGAGCCUGAACCAGCCAAGUAGCGUGAAGGAUGACUGCCCUAUGGGUUGUAAACUUCUUUUAUAAAGGAAUAAAGUCGGGUAUGCAUACCCGUUUGCAUGUACUUUAUGAAUAAGGAUCGGCUAACUCCGUGCCAGCAGCCGCGGUAAUACGGAGGAUCCGAGCGUUAUCCGGAUUUAUUGGGUUUAAAGGGAGCGUAGAUGGAUGUUUAAGUCAGUUGUGAAAGUUUGCGGCUCAACCGUAAAAUUGCAGUUGAUACUGGAUAUCUUGAGUGCAGUUGAGGCAGGCGGAAUCCGUGGUGUAGCGGUGAAAUGCUUAGAUAUCACGAAGAACUCCGAUUGCGAAGGCAGCCUGCUAAGCUGCAACUGACAUUGAGGCUCGAAAGUGUGGGUAUCAAACAGGAUUAGAUACCCUGGUAGUCCACACGGUAAACGAUGAAUACUCGCUGU
rnacentral:rRNA from 1 species